GCGGCGGCGAAGGGGUAGGGGCUUGGGGAGCUAGGGGGCUGAUCGACAGCGACGUUCACCAAUGGGUGCUCUCUUUUGGCCCAGCCUCGGACUGGGGCAGAGAGAUCAUGUAGAAAGGAGAGAAAGUGAGAAAGGGAAUUUGUCAGAAUUUUCAUUUUGCUGACAGUGAAUUUCUGAGUCUUAAAAGAGUGCAAGAAUGGUUUAUCAUCCAAGGCUCACAGUCAGCCAGAAACAUAUUCCAAUGAGCCAUGGACAUGGAGGAUUUUUUAAGGUAUAUUUAUUUAUAUAUUACUUAAAAUCUUUCCUUA
rnacentral:lncRNA from 1 species